UACGUACCGUACGAACGUUAUUCGGAAUUACUGGGCUUAAAGGGUUUGUAGGCGGCUUUGUAAGUGGGGUGUGAAAUCCCUCGGCUCAACCGAGGAACGGCGCUCCAAACUGCAAGGCUUGAGGGAGACAGAGGUAAGCGGAACUGAUGGUGGAGCGGUGAAAUGCGUUGAUAUCAUCAGGAACACCGGUGGCGAAAGCGGCUUACUGGGUCUCUUCUGACGCUGAGGAACGAAAGCUAGGGUAGCGAACGGG
rnacentral:rRNA from 2 species